CCUGAGCAGCUGGGAUUACAGGCACCCACCACCACUCCUGGCUAAUUUACAGGCAUGAGCCACCACGCCCAGCCUGUGACCAGUAAUCUUUGAUGUUAUUGUUGUAACUGUUUGGGGAUACUGUGAACUUAAUAAGACUUACUCAGUAAAUGUAUGUGUUCUUACUGCUCCAACAACCUGCCAUCCACUGUCUUUCUCUCUCUCUCUCCCCUUGGGCUUCCCUCUCUGUGAGACACAACAAUAUUGAAAUUAGGCCAGUUAAUAACCCUGCAGUGGCCUCUCAGUGUUGAAGUGAAAGGUAGAGUCUCUGAUCUGUGUCUUU